CACAGAAACCAGAGAGCUUGAGAAGCUGAUCACAUUCACCAGAGUUCCUUUGCAGGGAAGGGGCUGCUGGCCCUUAGUACAUAACAGGGUCCUGUUGUUCUCGAUCUCCUAAUAACUCAAUGGUUUUGGACCUGCCCUGGCAAGGGGGACCUGCAGGGGACCACUCGAGGAGGUGGAGUCUUCAGGGACCCUCAGGUGCCAGGGUUUAGAGUUCUGCCUGCCCCUUACUUCCCAGCACCAGAGCUGCCUAUGCUGAGAAAGCUAACAUCCGAGGAGGCACAGCUGGACGCGAGACACGCCACACUGCGCAGGGCGUUUGGGACGGAGAGUUUAUUUAGCCAUACCACGAUGAGUCCCGAGGCGCCAG
ensembl:lncRNA